rnacentral:lncRNA from 1 species
GGGACCCUUCUCAGUGGAGGCUGACCCUUCCAGGUUCCGCUCUAUCCACUGCCAUCUGUACCCGGACACACCCUGGUGUCCCCGCACUGCCAUCCUCUAGCAACCAUGGUUGAGACCCUGUCCCUGGGUGCCCCUGGUAUCCAAAGGGCCCAGGGACCCCUGUUGUAUGUCCUGGCCUUGGUGUACGAGGCUCUUCAGGGCUCUGUGUAUGUGCGUAUGUCUAUAUUUGUGUGUUUGUGUGGCGUGCCCACCCAUGUUGCAGACUGCUGGGCAGUCGUGUUCUUCAGGGAGUGGCAGGUCUGUCCCUAACUACUCUAUACUCCAAGGGCAGUUCUGUGGGAUCUGUGUUUGGAUCUCUGCAGUGGGGGUGGGCGAGAGGACUCAGGGCUCCCGUCGGGUGUCCUCCCACCCACCCCAUGGGCUGUAUUCUGUGUUCUUUUUGCAAAGACCUUAGCUAGGCAAGCUAACAAUGAUAAGGGAAAAGCUCUCAGGGAACUGAUGUGUUGUUGCCAUGGUGACGUCCUUCCUCUGAAUAAAGGUGUUCUUUGCAGCAACCCAA